rnacentral:rRNA from 1 species
CAGCCGCCGCGGUAAUACGAAGGGUGCAAGCGUUAAUCGGAAUUACUGGGCGUAAAGCGUGCGUAGGCGGUGAGUUAAGUCUGCUGUGAAAUCCCCGGGCUCAACCUGGGAAUGGCAGUGGAUACUGGCUCGCUAGAGUGUGUCAGAGGAUGGUGGAAUUCCCGGUGUAGCGGUGAAAUGCGUUGAGAUCGGAAGGAACAUCAGUGGCGAAGGCGGCCAUCUGGGACAACACUGACGCUGAGGCACGAAAGCGUGGGGAGCAAACAGGAUUAGAUACCCCAGUAGUCCCUGUCUCUUAUAC